UGUCUGUGUCAUUUCCACGACAAGGUAUGUCCCAGCAUACUCAACUCGAUUGAAGUACGAGUACGAAACUUGGGAGGUGUUACCUCAUAAUUCCUCCGAUACCAUGGAAGAAGCUGACCCUGUUUGGACAGAGAGUAACUGGGAUAGAAUAAGGCUUCGUGUCUACACAGUCCAGGACAGUGGAUUUGACCUGUUGGUUCUGUUGUUAGGUAUAACUGUCACAGUUUUGUCAUACAUUGUCAUAGUAAUUUCAAAAGCCUUCAUUACAAAGGCCCUAAAACGAGAUUAGCUUAGAAAUUCUUGAUAAAAACUUAUUUUUGGUGCAAUAGCAUUCUGAUUGCUUGUAAACACACAUCCUCGAGAAGGAAAAUGUAAUUCUUUCGCUGUUAUUACUCCUUAAAACGCCAGACGGAAAAUGCUCUGCAGGGCGAAGAAUUGUCAUCGCCGUUGUGAACGAUAUUGAUGUGUAAAAAUUACAAGCUUUGAGAUAUUUGAAG
rnacentral:misc_RNA from 1 species